rnacentral:rRNA from 1 species
AUGGUAGGAUAGAGGCCUACCAUGGUGGUAACGGGUAACGGGUGUUAGGGCACGACACCGGAGAGGGAGCCUGAGAAACGGCUACCACAUCCAAGGAAGGCAGCAGGUGCGCAAAUUACCCAAUCCCAACACGGGGAGGUAGUGACAAUAAAUAACAAUACAGGGCUCUUUUGGGUCUUAUAAUUGGAAUGAGUACAAUUUAAAUCUCUUAACGAGGAACAAUUGGAGGGCAAGUCUGGUGCCAGCAGCCGCGGUAAUUCCAGCUCCAAUAGCGUAUAUNAAAGUUGUUGCAGUUAAAAAGCUUGUAGUUGAAUUUCGGGAUCAAUAUGUCGGUCGUGCCUUCGGUACGUACUGGUAUCAUUGGUCUCUCCUUUCUGACGAACCAUGAUGUCAUUAAUUUGGUGUUAUGGGGAGUUAGGACUGUUACUUUGAAAAAAUUAGAGUGUUUAAAGCAGGCUUUAGCUUGAAUACAUUAGCAUGGAAUAAUGAAAUAGGACGUUCGAACCUAUNUUGUUGGUUUCUAGGAUCAACGUAAUGAUUAAUAGGGAUAGUUGGGGCAUUAGUAUUCAAUUGUCAGAGGUGAAAUUCUUGGAUUUAUUGAAGACUAACUACUGCGAAAGCAUUUGCCAAGGAUGUUUUCAUUAAUCAAGAACGAAAGUUAGGGGAUCGAAGACGAUCAGAUACCGUCGUAGUCUUAACCAUAAACUAUGCCGACUAGGGAUCGGACGAUGUUAAUUUUUUAAUGACUCGUUCGGCGCCUUACGGGAAACCAAAGUGUUUGGG